GCAGUUGACAGAGCACCUGCUGAUGCCUGAUAAUAGUAGAUAAUUCUGUAAGAAUAGGAUGUGUGUAUCAAUUUUCUGGUACAUGUCGAAACAUAUAUGAUUGUUCUCCAACCUUAUCACAGUUAUAUAUCUGAUUAUUUUUGUAAAAUCAAGAAUGUGUUCAAAUUAAAGUUAAUUAACAAAAAUCCACUUCAAGUGAUACAUGUAUAUUUAAAUGUUUGCAACCACUUCCUAAUGAUCCUUUUGAAUUUUAAGAUUUAGGAAGAGUAUAUCCUCUCUCCAAACGUUUUAUACUACAAUAUCAACAUGGCAGAAUCAAAGAUAAAUAAUCAAAGCAGUAUAUCGAAAAAAUAAUCAGCAUGUCAAAAGGGGGAAAUGAGGAAGGAAUGACUCAUAUGGAGAAUAUUCUUUAAAAAAAUUAUCCUUAAAAUAAUUUUUAGGUGGUUUUUUAUUUAAUGAAUCAUUCCCUACACUGCAGAUAUUCAACUCUGUUCAGAGACUGAAGUGCUGUAUAUCUAUAAUGUUUUGACAUUUACUGAUUUGUCACAAGUUUAUGAUGGUCCCAUUUUAAGAUUUUUUAAAACCCUUUAUGUAAAGGGCGUGUCAUUUUUUCCUUAUGUUUCAUUAUCUUUUUAUCUUUUUUUUUCUCCAUAUGAGUGAGAACUGGUGUGUUUUGUCCAUGAAAAUGUCCUCGGCCCCUGUGAUAAAACAGUUACGUUGUCCUUUUGUCAAAAGUUCAUGAUCUGAUGUUUUCUCUUUAAUUCGUUCAAACUUUAUAUGUAGCAUUAACUACUGCCACAGUAUUUUUUUUUAAACAAAAGCAUCCAUAUGCACAUAUUUUCAUUGUAAAAUUUCAUACUGGAAUCAUUAAUUCAUUUUCAUUGAUUUACCACAUCAAGUGAUCAUCAAUUACUGUUUAGAUCUACUUUUGUAUCAUUCCUUGAAUCAUGUGCAGAACCGUUUUGUUAAAAAUGUUUUGAUAAAUUUAGAACGACCCGUUUGUAUGGAAUCGUCCUCUUGCUAAUAAUUCCAACGAUUCCAUACGUGAUUUCUAUGCAGUUGCAUAUUACAUGCUCUUUUGAAAUGAAAGGACAUACUGUUUCUCAAAUAUGGGAUGGUAUGUCCAUGAAUUAAGCUUGGAACUAACACUAGAUUGAAAGUAGAAAGCUUUAUUAAAAAGAAUGGUCAUGCUAAAUAGAUGACAGCUAUUGUGAUGUCGCAGAAAUAAUUAUUAUCAGAUUCAUGAAUAUUUUUUUUUAAGUUUUAAAAUAAAUUUUCAAAGCCCGAUCAAUUUUUUGAGAGCCAUUUGCUCGAUCGACAUUCUCAUUAUCUAUACAUUCGAUGUAAUAUAUUGUCAUCAGAGAGCAUUAGCUUGAUUGGUUAGGGAUGAUGGCGAAAGGUUACCAUUUUUACCGGCUUGCUAAACAUCCUUAAAGAUUUGACAAGCUACCACGUUUCCUAUAUAAGCCACAUUAUUGAUGAUGUCACGACGCACGAGGUUCCUUUGGCUACUCGUGUUCUCCAGGUCAUGUUGUGUCGCAUAACACAAGGUUCCGUUGGGCUAUUCAUGUUCCCCAGGUCUUUUUUUUAGCAGAAUGCUGUGAUAACUGUGAUAGAAAUCUGUUUAAAUAAGACAUUUAUUUAAAAGAGGACACUUUUUUCUUUCUGAUAUACAAUUCCAAAAAUAUUGUUAUCCAGUAUUACUGUUAUGAAAAUCCGUGCAAUAAUUUUUUGUACAUAUUCUUCUGUUAUGUAAAAAUUGAUUGAUGAUAAUCAAAUCUCUGUUAUUUGUAUAUUGUUAUGGCGAAAACUUGCUAGACAAAAUAAAAUCUAAAAACCUC
rnacentral:misc_RNA from 1 species